AAAAACAUUCUUUCCAUGUAAUUUGUUCUGUUUAAAUACUACACCUUUGAUGUUCUCAGAUUCAUACUAAUUCAAAAAUAUUUUUUUUGGUUAAAAAAAAGAUGAAGAAUCUCAUAUUUUUUGUGUCAGUUUACUGCUAUGUAUGUUGGAUUGAGUGAAGCGCUACCACCAACAAAAAAUUGCAACGAUCGCACGAUAGAAUUUCAAAACAAACUCGGUCCUGGUAAGAUUCUGGGAUAUUCGUGUGAUUGGGUUACACGUCGUAAUUUUCCUAGAAAUGGAACUUUGAAAUUUAACGAAAAAUAUGUAUAUGAUGGAGCGACGAACGUUCCAAAAUGGAGUUGUUUUUUGCGGGCUAAAGGACUUUAUUAUCCAUUGAUAGUAGAAUUAUCAGCUCCGACACCUCCAUGUAAUAAUGGGUUGCGCUCAUGGAUUGUUAAAAAAAAAAAAAUAAAAAAUAAAAUAAAAUAAAAGCGAUGGAAUUUACUUUGAGAGAAAUGGAAAAAAACCUAUGAAACUAGUGGGUCGAUGGAAUAGUGGUCCCUAUUAACGUGAUUUUCUUCCUUCUGUUUUCCCUUAAAACUAAUUAGUGUUUAUGAAACUUGAGUUUUUUAUUUUUGUUGUCAUUUCAGCCAAGUUAUCUUUCGAGCUUGGUAUUAGAAGCUGUAUAUAUACACCAAAAUAUUGUAAUAAAAUAUGAGUCUCAUGUAUAUUUACGUAUAUAUUUGAUUCUUUAAAGAAGAAAGUAUAUGCACUUAGCCGUUUGAUAAAAAAAAGUCUAUGUACUUUCACGGUCUCUUGUCGAAAUGAAACUGAGAUCUUGCAGGAGAAAACUGGUCAUUAAAUUUGUAACAACAAAAUAUGAAAUUUACCAACUGCCAGUUGGAAAUCCGUUGGAUAAAAUCUUUUUGUCGAACUUCUAAUGGAUUUGAGAACCGCGCGCUGAACCAUGUUGUUUGUUAACUAUGAAAUUUUAAUAUGCUUUUUUUUUCUUUCCAUUUUGAAUAUUGUGUCAAGUGUUUAUGCCCGUGCAUGCGGGCAUAUUCAUAUAACGGAUAUGAAUAAAUUAGGGAGAAAAUUUAUAAUAUAAUUUUGAAGGAUUUUGAAGGAAAAUAAAAAAAAUUUGUUUUCUAUUUCAGAAAACAAAAUAAAUUACAUAUUUAAAACUUAAAUUUCCAAGUCUGCAACUAAACGAAUGCUACUAAAAAUCAAACCAUUGCAAUUGCGCAAGAUCAAAACAAAAGAAUACCAACUUUCACGAUGUAACCAUCGGCCCUGGAUCUGACGGGUCGCUAGGAGUUUUGUCGGACUGACUGAACAAGAUGUCUUUGAUAACCUGCACAUUUUGAUGGAUGAGUAAAAGACUUGAGAGUGAAUCUAACGGAUUCAUGAACCAAAACGGAAUAAAUAGCCACCAGACUGUUGUGUUUACUCACCUGUGACAUUAGUCCAUGCACCUGCUCAACAGUUAUCUUGGCACUAUUCCGAGUUAUCUUAGCGAGCGGAGGCUCCUCCUGGAAGAAAACACACCUAGUUAGGCUUUAAAAUCUCCCAAAACAGAUUAUUUUAUUAUGUAAACAAAAUUUCGAAAAAAACGACACCAGAACUCUAUAAAGCCAAGCACAGACUAUUGGCAACAACUAGUUGACGGUUUUGACACAUCAAACUUUAAAAAGCUCUGUAGAUUUUGACUUAACAAACACGCAAUUGCAAAACCCUACAACUAUAAAAGGUGAAUCAAAAUGUUGGUGCAGGUAGAGAGAGUGAUUAUCAGCUUAUAUUUAAGUAACACACAGCCUAAGUAUAAAGCGCGGAAUGAAAGUUCAUGGUUUUGUAUCUCAGACACUGUCGAGAAACAUUGAGAACAUAAACCUCUUUUUUCCUGUGAAGACUGAGCCAGCAGACCAGACUACUCUCGGCUUGCUCAAGCUUCUCAGCUUCAUUGGUAAAGGAUUACAAUGAUUAGUAUACUAAACUCCAACCUUUUGAUGAAAUUAUUUGCAGAGGUAAAUAACAAAAUUGCAUCAAGCUAAAGACGAGUGUAACUGACUUGAUGGGCUCAAAGAAGUAAGCAAGGCGGCAUCAAGAAUUACCAGUGGUUGUCUUAGAAUGCUGAGUCUGUUAGAUGCCACCAAAUCUAAAAGGCGUAGCUGGUCGUGUCAGCUUUGUUUGAACAAGAGUGUGUUUUUUUAUUUUUUACUCAAAAGCCAGG
rnacentral:lncRNA from 1 species